GAUGAACGCUGGCGGCGUGCCUAAUACAUGCAAGUCGAGCGAACAGAUAAGGAGCUUGCUCCUUUGACGUUAGCGGCGGACGGGUGAGUAACACGUGGGUAACCUACCUAUAAGACUGGGAUCACUUCGGGAAACCGGAGCUAAUACCGGAUAACAUUUGGAACCGCAUGGUUCUAAAGUGAAAGAUGGUUUUGCUAUCACUUAUAGAUGGACCCGCGCCGUAUUAGCUAGUUGGUAAGGUAACGGCUUACCAAGGCAACGAUACGUAGCCGACCUGAGAGGGUGGUCGGCCACACUGGAACUGAGACACGGUCCAGGCUCCUACGGGAGGCAGCAGUAGGGAAUCUUCCGCAAUGGGCGAAAGCCUGACGGAGCAACGCCGCGUGAGUGAUGAAGGGGUUCGGCUCGUAAAACUCUGUUAUUAGGGAAGAACAAACGUGUAAGUAACUGUGCACGUCUUGACGGUACCUAAUCAGAAAGCCACGGCUAACUACGUG
rnacentral:rRNA from 1 species